UCAACCGGGCAGCUGUAUCCCCAGGUGAGGCAAUCCGCUUCAGUCCCUCGGCACAGCGUGGGAGACAGCCAGGGUCAGGGCUGCCGGUCGUCGGGGAGGCAAGUGCCACAGAGGCACGGAAGGCAAACGGGUAGCAAACAAAACGAAAGGAGCAGCAGCAAACAGACCUUUUUUUUAAGGGUUUUAAGCGUUUUGACGAGCGCCUUUGACCACUAGCAGCAGGUAAAAGCACCCCUAGAACCACUCCCGAGUUACUUCUGCAGAAAGGAAGACGCCGAUGCGCAGCAUCCCCGACCUGCGCUUACCACAGACAAAGCAAGCUGCGAAACGAGGCCAGGUGUGGUGCCUGUGAGAGACUGAGAGGCGCCGAGGCUUUGGUCUGCUCGCCCGCGGGUCGCCCACCGGAGCAGAAGAAUGCGAUGGAUAAGUGUUGCAGGUAUAGUUUGGACCCUCCGCCACAGAGAUACUGUGAGACUAUGGAGAAGAAAGAGAGAUCGAGGCCCAAAAGAGUUAGGCUGCAGCUGAGACGCCCGAGUGGAAGCAAUCUAAUGGAAUACUCCUGUUAAAGGCGGUAACCACAUACAUCCUCGAACUGAGCGACAACUAUUGCUGGUCUAAAACCUCUGCUUUUCGAAAGAAGGGUUUAAAUAGGACAGAUCUGGGCUGAAAGAAGAGCAGAAAAACGAACUAAAAAUAGGCAGCCGCUAUUAGCAGUUGCCAAAGAUGCCUUGGAACUGUAACACGAUUCAGGCCGGCCUGGGACAGGAUCCUUCCUGCAGACCAUGGUCCCCAGGUGCUGAGGUAAUAGCGAGGCACAGCUGCGCUGAGUUAAAGCCAUCAGGCGCUGCCGUGGGCACGCUGAUCGGCUGCAGAGCUCCUGACGCUUGGAGGACGCCCUCCGAGGAGCCACACGGCAGAGACCAACAGCCUGAAACCUGUAGCCGGUGAAGCAGAUCUCAGUCCAUCCCCCUGGGCAAGACUAACCCAGGCAUGUGGGUGCCAUGUCCACAACAGGAGAGCAUUUCUGCCGCCCACCUCUUGACCUCCUGCAGCUUAAACCUGUCAAGCCUGGGACUUCUUUGCCAAUCCAGAGACUUCUGUAGAGCUGCUUGGAGUCUGUAUAGCCCCAGCCCCAGUUUUGCCUCCAAACUCUUACUCCAUGGGGAGCAUUGCCUUUCUUCAGGCCAACUCCAGAACAAGAGACUGCAUCAUCUUUGCUGAGCAGCCUGGCGAGCCCUCCCUCACCUGCAAAACCCUGCCCAGACCACCAGGUACUCUUAGGAUGUCUCACUUCUUGUUUUUCAGAGAAUGCUGAAGCUGACCUCCAGAAGGUCUUUUUACACCAAACCAAGGAUGAAUAAUGAGAGGAGAAAUCCUAAAUCUUCUCUGCAAGGAAUAAAAAUGGUGUUUAGUCUAGAGGUACUUACAGCAGGCCAUGAAUCUCUCUCACCCACACCUGAAGGCAGAAAGUCUCAUACUCCUGCAAGAUGGAUAAGAAGGUGGAAAACAGGGAAGGGAAGCAGACUUUGCUUAAGCCAUUAAGCCUCUCCAGAAAGCAGUCUGGGCUACAUGGAGACAUUAGCUGUCAUUUCAUAUGAAAAUAGUAUGCACUCAGCAGCUUCACAAUACUCCAGCAGGUUGCAGUGAUUUACAUGAAAAGAAGACAAAACAGGGGACCAGAGAGUGAGCAAGAGAUGUGGUAGGUCCCUCCUCAGAGAGUGUGAAGGAGCUCGAUGGCUUCUGAGACUGAGGGAAGGAAAAGAAAGGGCAAGAUGCACACCUUGGGGCACUCUGUGGGCACAGAGAUUUCUUUUGCCCCGAGUGGGACACAAGGGAAAGGGGGUGGUGGGGAUGAGCCAUGGAAUCACAGAAGGGUUUUGUUUGGAAGAGAUCUUUAAGGUCAUCAUGUCUGACUGUUAAUCCAGCACUGCCAGCUCACCACUCAGCCAUUUCCCUCAGCACCACAUCUAUAUGGCUUUUAAACCUCUCCAGGGAUGGGGACUUCACCACUUCCCUGGGCAGCCUGUUCCAGGGCUUGAAAA